UACCAGACUCCUACGGGAGGCAGCAGUGGGGAAUAUUGCACAAUGGGGGAAACCCUGAUGCAGCGACGCCGCGUGAGUGAAGAAGUAAUUCGUUAUGUAAAGCUCUAUCAGCAGGGAAGAAAAUGACGGUACCUGAGUAAGAAGCCCCGGCUAACUACGUGCCAGCAGCCGCGGUAAUACGUAGGGGGCAAGCGUUAUCCGGAUUUACUGGGUGUAAAGGGAGCGUAGACGGCGAUGCAAGCCAGAUGUGAAAGCCCGGGGCUCAACCCCGGGACUGCAUUUGGAACUGUGUGGCUGGAGUGUCGGAGAGGCAGGCGGAAUUCCUAGUGUAGCGGUGAAAUGCGUAGAUAUUAGGAGGAACACCAGUGGCGAAGGCGGCCUGCUGGACGACAACUGACGGUGAGGCGCGAAAGCGUGGGGAGCAAACAGGAUUAGAUACCCGAGUACA
rnacentral:rRNA from 1 species